GACGAACGCUGGCGGCGUGCUUAACACAUGCAAGUCGAACGGAAAGGCCCUGCUUUUGUGGGGUGCUCGAGUGGCGAACGGGUGAGUAACACGUGAGUAACCUGCCCUUGACUUUGGGAUAACUUCAGGAAACUGGGGCUAAUACCGGAUAGGAGCUCCUGCUGCAUGGUGGGGGUUGGAAAGUUUCGGCGGCUGGGGAUGGACUCGCGGCUUAUCAGCUUGUUGGUGGGGUAGUGGCUUACCAAGGCUUUGACGGGUAGCCGGCCUGAGAGGGUGACCGGCCACAUUGGGACUGAGAUACGGCCCAGACUCCUACGGGAGGCAGAAGUGGGGAAUAUUGCACAAUGGGCGGAAGCCUGAUGCAGCAACGCCGCGUGCGGGAUGACGGCCUUCGGGUUGUAAACCGCUUUCGCCUGUGACGAAGCGUGAGUGACGGUAAUGGGUAAAGAAGCACCGGCUAACUACGUG
rnacentral:rRNA from 1 species